AACGAACGCUGGCGGUAUGCCUAACACAUGCAAGUCGAACGAGACCUUCGGGUCUAGUGGCGCACGGGUGCGUAACGCGUGGGAACCUGCCCUUAGGUUCGGAAUAACUCCCCGAAAGGGGUGCUAAUACCGGAUAAUGUCUUCGGACCAAAGAUUUAUCGCCUUUGGAUGGGCCCGCGUUGGAUUAGCUAGUUGGUAGGGUAAAAGCCUACCAAGGCGACGAUCCAUAGCUGGUCUGAGAGGAUGAUCAGCCACACUGGGACUGAGACACGGCCCAGACUCCUACGGGAGGCAGCAGUGGGGAAUAUUGGACAAUGGGCGAAAGCCUGAUCCAGCAAUGCCGCGUGAGUGAUGAAGGCCUUAGGGUUGUAAAGCUCUUUUACCCGGGAUGAUAAUGACAGUACCGGGAGAAUAAGCGCCGGCUAACUCCGUG
rnacentral:rRNA from 1 species